GAUGAACGCUGGCGGCGUGCCUAAUACAUGCAAGUCGUGCGGAAAGGCCACUUCGGUGGUACUCGAGCGGCGGACGGCAGAGUAACGCGUAGGGAACAUACCCCCAAACUGAGGCAUAACUGCUCGAAAGAGCAGCUAAUACCGCAUGUGAUCUUCGGAUUAAAGCUUCGGCGGUUUGGGAAUGGCCUGCGUCCGAUUAGCUAGUUGGUGAGGUAAAUGCUCACCAAGGCUUCGAUCGGUAGCUGGUCUGAGAGGAUGAUCAGCCUGACUGGAACUGAGAACGGUCCAGACUCCUACGGGAGGCAGCAGUAGGGAAUUUUCCACAAUGGGCGAAAGCCUGAUGGAGCAACGCCGCGUGCAGGAUGAAUGCCUUCGGGUUGUAAACUGCUUUAUUAGUGAAGAAUAUGACGGUAACUAAUGAAUAAGGGUCGGCUAACUACGUGCCAGCAGCCGCGGUAAU
rnacentral:rRNA from 1 species